UACGAAGGGGGCUAGCGUUGCUCGGAAUUACUGGGCGUAAAGGGCGCGUAGGCGGCCUUCUAAGUCAGACGUGAAAUCCCUCGGCUCAACCGAGGAACUGCGUCUGAUACUGGAAGGCUUGAAUCCGGGAGAGGGAUGUGGAAUUCCAGGUGUAGCGGUGAAAUGCGUAGAUAUCUGGAGGAACACCGGUGGCGAAGGCGGCAUCAUGGACCGGUAUUGACGCUGAGGCGCGAAAGCUAGGGGAGCAAACGGG
rnacentral:rRNA from 1 species